rnacentral:rRNA from 1 species
CAGUCGUGUGAAGGGUAUUCAGCCGUCUCUGACGGUGUAUUUGCCCUUCACGGGUCAACAUCAGUUUUGAUCGGUAGAAAAAGGCAGUGAGAAUGUGGCACCUCCGGGUGUGUUAUAGCUCAUUGUUGCAUAUACUGGUCGAGACUGAGGAACGCAGCUUGCCUUUAUGGCCGGGGUUCGCCCACGUACAAGCUUAGGAUGUUGACGUAAUGGCUUUAAACGACCGUUCUUGAAACACGGACCAAGGAGUCUAACAUAUGUGCGAGUGUU